rnacentral:rRNA from 1 species
AGCGUACACGGUGGAUGCCCUGGCAGUCAGAGGCGAUGAAGGACGUGCUAAUCUGCGAUAAGCGUCGGUAAGGUGAUAUGAACCGUUAUAACCGGCGAUUUCCGAAUGGGGAAACCCAGUGUGUUUCGACACACUAUCAUUAACUGAAUCCAUAGGUUAAUGAGGCGAACCGGGGGAACUGAAACAUCUAAGUACCCCGAGGAAAAGAAAUCAACCGAGAUUCCCCCAGUAGCGGCGAGCGAACGGGGAGCAGCCCAGAGCCUGAAUCAGUAUGUGUGUUAGUGGAAGCGUCUGGAAAGGCGCGCGAUACAGGGUGACAGCCCCGUACACAAAAAUGCACAUGCUGUGAGCUCGAUGAGUAGGGCGGGACACGUGGUAUCCUGUCUGAAUAUGGGGGGACCAUCCUCCAAGGCUAAAUACUCCUGACUGACCGAUAGUGAACCAGUACCGUGAGGGAAAGGCGAAAAGAACCCCGGCGAGGGGAGUGAAAAAGAACCUGAAACCGUGUACGUACAAGCAGUGGGAGCACGCUUAGGCGUGUGACUGCGUACCUUUUGUAUAAUGGGUCAGCGACUUAUAUUCUGUAGCAAGGUUAACCGAAUAGGGGAGCCGAAGGGAAACCGAGUCUUAACUGGGCGUUAAGUUGCAGGGUAUAGACCCGAAACCCGGUGAUCUAGCCAUGGGCAGGUUGAAGGUUGGGUAACACUAACUGGAGGACCGAACCGACUAAUGUUGAAAAAUUAGCGGAUGACUUGUGGCUGGGGGUGAAAGGCCAAUCAAACCGGGAGAUAGCUGGUUCUCCCCGAAAGCUAUUUAGGUAGCGCCUCGUGAAUUCAUCUCCGGGGGUAGAGCACUGUUUCGGCAAGGGGGUCAUCCCGACUUACCAACCCGAUGCAAACUGCGAAUACCGGAGAAUGUUAUCACGGGAGACACACGGCGGGUGCUAACGUCCGUCGUGAAGAGGGAAACAACCCAGACCGCCAGCUAAGGUCCCAAAGUCAUGGUUAAGUGGGAAACGAUGUGGGAAGGCCCAGACAGCCAGGAUGUUGGCUUAGAAGCAGCCAUCAUUUAAAGAAAGCGUAAUAGCUCACUGGUCGAGUCGGCCUGCGCGGAAGAUGUAACGGGGCUAAACCAUGCACCGAAGCUGCGGCAGCGACGCUUAUGCGUUGUUGGGUAGGGGAGCGUUCUGUAAGCCUGUGAAGGUGUACUGUGAGGUAUGCUGGAGGUAUCAGAAGUGCGAAUGCUGACAUAAGUAACGAUAAAGCGGGUGAAAAGCCCGCUCGCCGGAAGACCAAGGGUUCCUGUCCAACGUUAAUCGGGGCAGGGUGAGUCGACCCCUAAGGCGAGGCCGAAAGGCGUAGUCGAUGGGAAACAGGUUAAUAUUCCUGUACUUGGUGUUACUGCGAAGGGGGGACGGAGAAGGCUAUGUUGGCCGGGCGACGGUUGUCCCGGUUUAAGCGUGUAGGCUGGUUUUCCAGGCAAAUCCGGAAAAUCAAGGCUGAGGCGUGAUGACGAGGCACUACGGUGCUGAAGCAACAAAUGCCCUGCUUCCAGGAAAAGCCUCUAAGCAUCAGGUAACAUCAAAUCGUACCCCAAACCGACACAGGUGGUCAGGUAGAGAAUACCAAGGCGCUUGAGAGAACUCGGGUGAAGGAACUAGGCAAAAUGGUGCCGUAACUUCGGGAGAAGGCACGCUGAUAUGUAGGUGAAGCGACUUGCUCGUGGAGCUGAAAUCAGUCGAAGAUACCAGCUGGCUGCAACUGUUUAUUAAAAACACAGCACUGUGCAAACACGAAAGUGGACGUAUACGGUGUGACGCCUGCCCGGUGCCGGAAGGUUAAUUGAUGGGGUCAGCGCAAGCGAAGCUCUUGAUCGAAGCCCCGGUAAACGGCGGCCGUAACUAUAACGGUCCUAAGGUAGCGAAAUUCCUUGUCGGGUAAGUUCCGACCUGCACGAAUGGCGUAAUGAUGGCCAGGCUGUCUCCACCCGAGACUCAGUGAAAUUGAACUCGCUGUGAAGAUGCAGUGUACCCGCGGCAAGACGGAAAGACCCCGUGAACCUUUACUAUAGCUUGACACUGAACAUUGAGCCUUGAUGUGUAGGAUAGGUGGGAGGCUUUGAAGUGUGGACGCCAGUCUGCAUGGAGCCGACCUUGAAAUACCACCCUUUAAUGUUUGAUGUUCUAACGUGGACCCGUAAUCCGGGUUGCGGACAGUGUCUGGUGGGUAGUUUGACUGGGGCGGUCUCCUCCUAAAGAGUAACGGAGGAGCACGAAGGUUGGCUAAUCCUGGUCGGACAUCAGGAGGUUAGUGCAAUGGCAUAAGCCAGCUUGACUGCGAGCGUGACGGCGCGAGCAGGUGCGAAAGCAGGUCAUAGUGAUCCGGUGGUUCUGAAUGGAAGGGCCAUCGCUCAACGGAUAAAAGGUACUCCGGGGAUAACAGGCUGAUACCGCCCAAGAGUUCAUAUCGACGGCGGUGUUUGGCACCUCGAUGUCGGCUCAUCACAUCCUGGGGCUGAAGUAGGUCCCAAGGGUAUGGCUGUUCGCCAUUUAAAGUGGUACGCGAGCUGGGUUUAGAACGUCGUGAGACAGUUCGGUCCCUAUCUGCCGUGGGCGCUGGAGAACUGAGGGGGGCUGCUCCUAGUACGAGAGGACCGGAGUGGACGCAUCACUGGUGUUCGGGUUGUCAUGCCAAUGGCACUGCCCGGUAGCUAAAUGCGGAAGAGAUAAGUGCUGAAAGCAUCUAAGCACGAAACUUGCCCCGAGAUGAGUUCUCCCUGACUCCUUGA